rnacentral:misc_RNA from 1 species
AAGUCGUAACAAGGUCUCCGUUGGUGAACCAGCGGAGGGAUCAUUACCGAGUACUAUAACUCAUAACCCUUUGUGAACCUUCAUACCUGUUGCUUCGGCGGCGCCCCCUCUGCGGGGCUGCUGCUCCGCCGGCUUCAAAAUAUUUUAAAAAAUACAAACCAUUUCAGUGGAUCCCUUGGCUCGUGG